UAUCUCUCCAUACAGGGAAGGGUGAGAAGCUUCGACUAAGGUUCGAUUCGAGUGCAGCGAGAAAGCGUUGCCGCAGGCAACGACCCGAAGGUGAGGAGCGGAGCGACGAAUAAUCCUUCCCCCACCACCA
rnacentral:sRNA from 1 species